CUUCCGGUGCCGCGGGACCACGCGUGCUCUGUGCUUCCGGUCCGGCGGGGAAGGCGGCUGCCGCAGGCUUUCCCGGUAACGUGAAGUGCCCACGGCUGGCCCCGGCAGCAUGAAGCCCAGGCCUGCGGUGUUCGUAGACGGGAGGCUGAAGCAGCGGGUCAUUCAGUACCUCGCCAGUAAUAGAUGUGGCAAAUAUGUAGACACUGGAAUCUUAGCAUCUGACUUGCAGAGAAUGUACAGUGUAGAUUAUGGCCGAAGAAAAAGAAAUGCUUUUAGGAUUCAGGUAGAAAAAGUAUUUAACGUAAUUAGUAGUGAGAAAGAACUGAAGAAUCUUAAGGAAUUAGAAGAUGAGCAUCUGGCAAAAAGAGCAAGAAGGGACGAAGAUGAUGAGUACACUGAAAGCUAUUCUGAUGAUGAUUCAAACAUGGAAGAUUACCCAGAUCCACAGUCAGGAAAUCACAUGAACAGUUCCCUGCUGUCUUUGUAUCGGAAAGGAAACCCUGAUUCUGUUUCCAACACUCCAAAGUUGGAACAGAGAGAAGCCACCACUUCAGUGCCAUUACUGACUUCUAAAACGGGCUCCAUGCCAUUGAAGACCCCUGCCAGAGAAUCUGAGGGAGGAUGGUUUAUUGACAAAACCCCAGGUGGAAAGAAAGAAAGUCUUCCUUCAGACCUAUCAGAUGACCAAAGCAACUAUAAAAAGCCAGAUUCUGAGAAUUUAAAAGAUUCUUCUCUUCUGGAAAGUGAUAAGAAAAGAAAAGGUAGGCCAAAGAGCAAAGGAAACAAAAGAAAGACAGAGGAUCUUCAAGAAGUAGAUGGAGAAAUAGAAGCUAGUCUGCAAAAGAAAGCCAAAGCAAGGCGUAUAGAGUUGCAGAUUUCCAGUGUGAAGUUUGAAGAUGUUGGAGGCAAUGAUGCAACAUUAAAAGAAGUAUGCAAGAUGCUCAUCCACAUGCGUCACCCAGAGGUAUACCACCACCUUGGUGUAGUGCCCCCUCGUGGAGUUCUCUUGCAUGGGCCGCCAGGCUGUGGGAAGACAUUACUUGCGCAUGCAAUUGCUGGGGAACUUGAUUUGCCAAUCCUGAAAGUGGCUGCACCAGAGAUCGUGUCGGGAGUUUCUGGAGAGUCUGAGCAAAAGCUCAGAGAUUUAUUUGAUCAAGCUGUGUCAAACGCACCCUGUAUUGUUUUCAUUGAUGAAAUUGAUGCUAUUACCCCCAAAAGAGAAGUUGCUUCAAAAGAUAUGGAACGAAGAAUUGUAGCCCAGCUUCUAACCUGCAUGGAUGAUCUGAACAGCAUGGCAGCUACAGCUCAAGUCCUAGUUGUUGGAGCUACUAACCGACCAGACUCGUUGGAUCCUGCCUUGAGACGUGCAGGAAGGUUUGACCGAGAAGUAUGCCUGGGUAUCCCUGAUGAGGCUGCCAGAGAAAGAAUACUUCGAACUUUGUGCCGAAAACUGAGACUUCCGGAAACUUUUAAUUUUUGUCACUUAGCACACCUAACUCCGGGCUUUGUUGGUGCUGAUCUGAUGGCACUUUGCCGAGAGGCAGCCAUGUGUGCAGUCAAUAGGGUCUUGAUGAAGCAGCAGGAGCAGCAGAAGAGUCCUGAGAUGGAAGCUUUGCCCCCUGAAGGAGCCCAGGAGGAGAGGCUGGGGGCCGAGCCCACUUCUGGAACCCAGGAUGAAUUGCAAAGGCUGUUGAGGUUGCUAAGAGACCAAGAUCCCCUCUCACAAGAACAGAUGCAAGGACUAUGCAUUGAAUUAAAUGAUUUCAUUGUUGCUCUAGCGGAAGUCCAGCCUUCUGCCAAAAGGGAAGGCUUUGUAACUGUCCCUAAUGUGACAUGGGCCGAUAUUGGUGCCCUGGAAGAUAUUAGAGAAGAGCUCAUAAUGGCAAUAUUGGCACCAGUACGUAACCCAGACCAGUUCAGAACUCUUGGUUUGGUGACUCCAGCUGGCAUCCUCCUAGCUGGUCCUCCUGGAUGUGGGAAAACUCUGCUAGCAAAGGCUGUGGCAAAUGAGUCUGGACUAAAUUUUAUAUCUGUCAAAGGCCCUGAAUUAUUAAAUAUGUACGUUGGGGAGAGCGAACGUGCUGUGCGGCAGGUUUUUCAACGAGCCAAGAACUCAGCACCCUGUGUGAUAUUUUUUGAUGAAGUGGAUGCUUUAUGUCCUCGAAGAUCAGACCGAGAAACAGGUGCUAGUGUCCGUGUGGUGAAUCAACUGCUUACAGAGAUGGAUGGGUUGGAAACACGUCAGCAAGUUUUUAUUUUGGCUGCCACUAAUAGGCCAGAUAUCAUUGACCCUGCCAUUCUGCGGCCAGGCCGGCUGGACAAAACACUCUUUGUAGGUUUGCCACCCCCAGCAGACCGUGUUGCCAUAUUGAAGACUAUCACAAAAAAUGGCACCAAACCUCCACUGGAUGAAGAUGUAAAUUUGGAAGCAAUUGGCAAUGACCUUCGUUGUAAUUGUUAUACGGGUGCAGACCUCUCUGCUUUGGUCCGAGAAGCUUCCCUCUGUGCCCUGAGACAAGAAAUAACAGGACAGAAGAGUGCAGUUGGAAUAGGUGAGCUCAAGGUCAGCCAUAAGCAUUUUGAAGACGCUUUCAGGAAAGUAAAACCAUCUAUAUCAGUAAAGGAUCAAAAGAUGUAUGAAGCUCUGCAGAGGUCCCUCAGUCAGUGACAUUUGCAGUACCUGUCAUGGAGGUGUCUAGUGCAUGGAACUCACCAAGAAUCACACUUGCUCUGAAGGGUCUACUUUCAGCCUGAAGCAGAUGACCUCACUUGGCAGCAGGACUGUGGGACCAGGGCGGGACGGAGAAAAGUGUCCAUCUGCAGUCAUGUCAGUGCUGGAAACCAAACUUGAAUCUUCCACAGAGCAGUAAAGCCUCUUAACUGCUGGGCCGUAUCUCCAGCCCCAGAGGCAAACAGCCAGAAUCCAGCUGAUGUGGAGCCUUAGAAGCAGCCUGAAGGGUAGAAAUACUCAAAGGAAUGAGUCUGGGAGUAAACAGGUAAAGAAACUCCAUUUGAUGUCAUACAUCCAUCUUGGUACCCACUAGCCAUUUGUCUCUGACUCUAGUCCCUGGAAGAUGUGAUAAAACUAAACUUGGACAAAAUGUACGUCUGAAUCUAAACUUUAUUAACUAAGAAGACUGAAUGGAAUUUUCUCCCGGUGCAGUAAAACCUCAAUCAAGAAAAAUCACUCCAUUUUCAUCACGUCUGGCUCUGAAGUUGCAUCAUGGCGUCCAGCAUGAAGGAUACUUCAUGGAGCCUAAUGACCCGUGUGUCCAUCCCCAGAGCUUCUUUAUCUUAUCUGAAUUCUUCUUCACGUCAAUGAAUAAAAACCCUAGGCAUUUUCUGUGUUUUCAUGCUGAGGCUAAUCCAGGACCUUGUCCAUGUGCUCUGCCACUAAGCUGCAUCUCCAGGUCAGUCCACACUGGUGUUUAUGUGCUGUGUUGAAUAGAAAUCUUUUCAUUCUUAUAGAGACAGCAAAUGUUGAUGACCUCUCCCCUCUCUCUGUCUCACAGAGGAAAAAACUCAGGGCCUUAUGAAUGCCAAGUACACACUCCACCACUGACUACACUUCUAGCCCCAAUACUUUGAUUUCUGUGUUACAAAGGGAGCAAUACUUGGAGCAGAGAUUAUUUAUAUAUUUAUGGCUGUUAUUCAGCUGGGUGAAAUGUGAAAAUUUAAAAGAAUUUAGGAAACAUUUUUCAAUACAAACACUAAAAACAAAAACCAUCUUGGCCUUCCUAUUCUAUCUCCCACAAAUUACAGUCUUGGCAGACAAUUUCUAUCUAGUUCAUUACAAUAUCUCUAUAAGAAUUUGUUACAUUUUCUUUACUUAGUGUGUGUGUGUGUGUGUGUGUGUGUGUGUGUGUGUGUGUGUGUACCGUGGUGUGCAUGCAGAGGUCAAAAGGACAACUUGCAGGAAUUAGUUUCUCCUUUCCCCAUGUCUGUGUCCCAGGAAUCAUCUCAUGUUGAGGGGUGUGGUGGCCAUCCCCAUUACAAUAGCUCUGACAAGAUAGCAAACCCAUGUUGAACACUCUUUCUUGAGUAUGAAUUCUUAACGGUCAUCUCAAAAGAAGAGUAAGACUCCCACUGUGUAUUAUUUAAUUAGGUAAAAUUAAAUAUAAACAUUUAACUGUGUUUCACAGGAAUGAUACAUACUCACACUGAUAAUUGCACAGAAGCUAAUUAGACACAACCAUUUGUAAAUAUUCAUUUAGAGAGGUAGAGAAUUCAGAAAAUCUCUUUCUGUGUGUGUUUGUGUGUGUGUGUGUGUAUGUGUGUGUGUGUCUUCUUCAGUUGUUGCCCACCUUAUUUUUUGAGACAGGGCCUCACCGUGCACCCUAAGCUCACUCAUUAGACUAGACUGAUCAGGCAAUGACUCCAGGGAUUCCCCCUGUCUCUGCCUCUCCAGGCUGGGACUACAGGUGCCCAUCACCGAAAGAGUUUUUUUUUUUUCUUUAAAUGUGGAUUCUGGAGAUGGAACUCGGGUCCUCAUGCCUGUGCAGCAAGAACUCCACCAUCGCCUCAGGCCACUCCUCAGACAGAACAGAAAGAUCACUUCAUAAUUUUAAUACUUGCAGGUUUAUACUGGUGGGCAGUGUUGAUGCACGCCUGUAAUUCCAGCAGUCUGGAGGCUGUGGCAAGAAGACCUCAAGGUUAAGGCUGAUGUCAGUAACAGAACAUUCCAGGCCAGACAGGGGUGCAUAACAAGACUUUGUCUCUGAAUGAAGAGAAGAACACUGAAAAAUGAAAGUGUACAAAGGACAUUGGCUGUUCUGGGUCUUUCACUAAGUAAAAUGAAGCCAGCUGGAUGAGAACCAUCAGAGUUAUGAUCCAGAUGAGGUUGGGGUCAGGUUUCAUCAAGGAUUUUAUCUCUGGAUAUUUUGCUGUAAGAGAAGAAAAUACAACAAGAAUCAUAAAUGGGGAUUAGUGCUGCUGUGGAUAUCGCUCUGUAUAAAUAAACACUGAUUGGCCAGUGGCCAGGGAGAAAGUAUAGGCGGGACUAACAGAGAGGAGAAAAGAGGAAACAGAAAGGAGGAGACCUGCCAGCUGCCACCAUGACAAGCAAGAUGUAAGAUGUGAUAAGACUAAACUUGGACAAAUUGUAUAUCUGAAUCUAAGCUUUAUUAACUAAGAAGCCUGAAUGGAAUUUUCUCCCGGUGCAGUAAAACCUCAAUCAAGAAAAAAUCACUCCAUUUUCAUCACGUCUGGCUCUGAAGUUGCAUCAUGGCAUCCAGCAUGAAGGACCUUGUCCAUGCUGAGCAUGUGCUCUGCCACUAAGCUGCAUCUCCAGGUUUAUACUGGUGGGCAGUGUUGAUGCACGCCUGUAAUUCCAGCAGUCUGGAGGCUGUGGCAAGAAGACCUCAAGGUUAAGGCUGAUGUCAGUAACAGAACAUUCCAGGCCAGACAGGGGUGCAUAACAAGACUUUGUCUCUGAAUGAAGAGAAGAACACUGAAAAAUGAAAGUGUACAAAGGACAUUGGCUGUUCUGGGUCUUUCACUAAGUAAAAUGAAGCCAGCUGGAUGAGAACCAUCAGAGUUAUGAUCCAGAUGAGGUUGGGGUCAGGUUUCAUCAAGGAUUUUAUCUCUGGAUAUUUUGCUGUAAGAGAAGAAAAUACAACAAGAAUCAUAAAUGGGGAUUAGUAAGCUUGCAAGAUUGGUAGAAGCCUGUUAAUGAACCUGGCUUGUGUUUGCCUUUG